UUGUGUCCAUACAUCUAGUUGUUUUCAAUACAUCUCUCUCCCUCUCCCUCUCACCGCUGACCUUCUCCUCCGACUGCUCCGUCGUCGUUUCAUCAUGACUCAUAUCCUUCCAUAUUUCUGCAAUUCUCUGAUUCCUGUUCAGAAAUUUGUCGAUUUUUGUUUAUUGUGAAUUAUUAGUCCGCUAAUUGCUAACCCUAAUCGUUUUAAUUAAUUUAUCUCCUUUUUUGUUAUUAAAUUUUGCUGUUCUUUUUUUCGUUAACUGAAUUUCACGAGGAAAUCAAAGAGAAAAGGACCGAGAAAGGGCUCAAGCUCGCAAUGGCAAAGGCAAGACUAAAGACGAUGGUUUGACCCCUGAGCAGCGUCGCGAAAGAGAUGCAAAGGCUCUUCAGGAGAAGGCCGCGAAGAAGGCAGCUCAGGCAGCAGGGAGUAGUGAUGCUGGAGGUAAGAGCA